UCCUUGGAGGACUAGUGGUUAGGGCCUGGCGAUCUCACCACCACGGCCCGGGUUCGAAUCCCGGCCAGGGAA
rnacentral:tRNA from 1 species